CCCUUCUGGAAUCUCCCCAACAAAAACCAACCCAAACCCACUUUUCUUUACCCCCCCCCCAGCCUAAUCCGUUGUUAGUCUUUCCACAUCAUUAUUAGCUCCACUACUGACCAACCAAAGCCACAGUGAGUCUUUCCUGAUUUGGGUCUUUCUGGGUUUUGGAUCUAAGUUUAAAAGAUUCUGGCUUUGGAUUGGAUGUGAGGGCUGGCUGGCUUAUAAUCUGUUGGGGUUUUGCGUAGAAAUAUGAGAGUAGUGGAAAUCACUGCAACUAAUUAUGCGAACACUUUGUGACGCUUGUGAAAGCGCAGCCGCGAUCGUUUUCUGUGCUGCCGACGAAGCUGCUCUUUGCCGUGCCUGUGAUGAAAAAGUGCAUUUGUGCAAUAAGCUUGCUAGCCGACAUGUUCGGGUUGGUCUGGCAACUCCCAGUGCAGUUCCCCGCUGUGAUAUUUGUGAAAAUGCACCCGCUUUCUUCUAUUGCGAGAUAGAUGGGAGUUCCCUUUGUUUGCAAUGUGAUAUGGUUGUUCAUGUUGGAGGUAAAAGAACACACGGAAGAUAUCUGGUACUGAGACAAAGAGUUGAGUUUCCAGGGGAUAAACCUAGUAGUAACGGUGAAGACCCAGCAUCCCAGCCCCCCAUUGACCAAGGUGAGACCAGAAGAGUACAACAUCAGCAACCAAGAAUGACAAUUGGAGAGAACCAUCAAAAUCACAGGGCAUCUCCUAUUCGUCUAGCAGAUGCCAAUGAUGAUGGGCAUGUAAAGAUGGAUAAUAAGUUAAUUGAUUUGAACAUGAAGCCUAAUCGGAUGCAUGGACAAGCUUCAAAUAAAGAGGAACUUUUUUGCAUUCCUAGUAAAUGGUAUACACAGAUCUCAGCAGAGUGAAAAUUACCACCUGGAGUGGACUAUUAGACAUGAUCAAGAUCAUCAUUGCUUAUUAGUGGCAUGACAAAAUUGGACCAAUAGUGGCGUAUUUGGAAGCAUGGUCAGUACUUACUUUCACUAGUAGCCAGAAGGGCAAUUCAUCUACACCUUGGCUAUCUGCUACUUCAUGAGGAACUCGCUCCUUUAUCUUCCCUUCUCCUGUUAAGUGACCCUUAUGGUCAUUAAGGGUUAAAGAGUGUUUACCAUUCAGUAGUUUAGUUGUGCAGGAUAUAUCCGAUAUAGUUGGUUACUCGGAAAGCAUGCAAAACUUGCUCCGAAAGCAAAAUACUGUUAUUUACUGCUGCUGAUCUCCAUUGUUCAAAUCUAUGCAAGUGCUUGUAUUGUUGUAA